CCUACGGGUGGCUGCAGUGGGGAAUAUUGCACAAUGGAGGAAACUCUGAUGCAGCGACGCCGCGUGAGUGAAGAAGUAAUUCGGUAUGUAAAGCUCUAUCAGCAGGGAAGAAAAUGACGGUACCUGAGUAAGAAGCCCCGGCUAACUACGAGCCAGCAGCCGCGGUAAUACGUAGGGGGCAAGCGUUAUCCGGCUUUACUGGGUGUAAAGGGAGCGUAGACGGCAGUGCAAGUCUGGAGUGAAAGGCGGGGGCUCAACCCCCGGACUGCUCUGGAAACUGUACGGCUGGAGUGCAGGAGAGGUAAGUGGAAUUCCUAGUGUAGCGGUGAAAUGCGUAGAUAUUAGGAGGAACACCAGUGGCGAAGGCGGAUUACUGGACUGUAACUGACGUUGAGGCUCGAAAGCGUGGGGAGCAAACAGGAUUAGAUACCCCGGUAGUC
rnacentral:rRNA from 1 species